AAUAAGCACAGUUGUGGGUUUCAGUGUCCAAUUUUAACCAUCCGUCUUAUUUAAAAUAUUUUUAUGAUUAGUAUUUUUAUUAUUAUUAGAUGAUAAAAUAUGAAUAAUACUUUAUGCGUGACUUAACUUUUAAAUUUUUUUUCAUAUUUUUUUUAAAUAAGAUGAACGGUCAAACGUUGGGCAUGAAAACUUAUGGCUGCACAUAUA
rfam:Oryza sativa Japonica Group DNA, chromosome 6, cultivar: Nipponbare, complete sequence.